rnacentral:rRNA from 1 species
UCAGAUGUGAAAUCCCCGGGCUUAACCUGGGAACUGCAUCUGAAACUGUUAGGCUAGAGUAGGGGAGAGGGAAGUGGAAUUUCAGGUGUAGCGGUGAAAUGCGUAGAUAUCUGAAGGAAUACCGAUGGCGAAGGCAGCUUCCUGGCAUCAUACUGACACUGAGGCUCGAAAGCGUGGGUAGCAAACAGGAUUAGAUACCCUGGUAGUCCACGCCGUAAACGAUGUCUACUAGUCGUUGGGUCCCUUGAGGACUUAGUGACGCAGCUAACGCAUUAAGUUGACCGCCUGGGGAGUACGGCCGCAAGGUUAAAACUCAAAUGAAUUGACGG